AUCCCAGCAAGAUGGAGUGUGUCUCGACCAUCUUAUUUCAUUCUUGUAAGAAAAUGAGAUCGGGAUGCUCAAGUCUUCGAACUACAUCCAUACAGGGAGAGAAACAGAAAGAGAAAAAAAGGAAAGAAAGGAAAGAUAGAGAAAAGAAAAAAAGAGAGAGAAAGAAAGGGAGAAGAAAAAGAAAAGAAAAGAAGGGGAGGUAGAGGAAAAGAAAGAAAAGAAAAAAGAAAGAAAAAAUAAAAAGAAAAGAAGAAUGGGAGAAAUAUGGAGGAUAUCCUUCAAGCUGCAUGACCAGAACUAUUGUCG
rnacentral:lncRNA from 1 species